rnacentral:sRNA from 1 species
UUUGCCAUUUUCCCCACUAAAAACAGAGUACCUCUUUUUCGCCUAUUUUCCUCCAGCGUUUCGCCGACGUUUUUUUAUAUGUAGUUUGACAGCAUUUCAUCUGAAAAGAAUACUCAGCUUAAUUGGUAAAAAACACCCCUAGCGUUGCAAACGUUUAAAUACAGCUAGCGAAAACAGUAAAUAAAACAACUCAAAUGUACAUACCUCUGCACUGCACAGCAGCAGCAGAGGUAUUGCGCUAAUAAAAAAAAAGUUUGGAGUAAUGUUACUAGCUGCAAGAGCUGGUGCGUGUGUUUGUAUGGAGUAUGCAAGCAACGUGUUUGGCGUGUUAACAUAUACACUUUUCCUCACUAUUGAACGCAUGAGGGUGGAUGGACCCAGGGAUAAGGACAACUUAUACCUUUUUAAGCUGGACUUGUGUAUGGGCAAGGAGUUAAUGUUUAUGCCUGUCAGAAUGCGGCCCUACGUACUGCGACGGGCUGUCCCCUCAGUUCUCAGGUGGACCACCCUCAUCAGUAUACAAAGAUCUCACCAGUACGAAGGCACAACUACAUGCUUUCUUAGCAGUGUCUACUGGGAUGCUAUCGUAGAGAACAUACCAAUCACCAUCUUGUAGAAUGACGUUCACCGCCGAGAGAUAUUAGAGUCAAUACACAUGAUGUAGGGCGUGAGGUUCAGUGCUAGUAGAGCGAGUCUUGAUACCAUUCAGACACGGCAGCAGAAGCGGCGAACCUCAAACGCGAUCGACCGCUACUCAUUGCACCUGGAGAAGACUCCUUUGGCAAAGUAGAAUAGCCUCCUUUCCGGCAUCCUCCUCAACCCUUAGAGAUCUAGGAUUGAUGGCACACGACACACGUUUAACUGCCCAGCCAAUCCUACUCGACUUUGAUCAGACCACUUUGGACGCACUUAGAUCUCGGUACUUAAUAGAAAAUAGCACACGAAUGGAUUAUAUACAACAUACUGCUACAACAAAAUUAACACCCGGUACGGGAUAGGUAUGAGUAUCAUACAGGCUGAAAUUUUGAGUUUCGAUCUCUGUAAUGUUCAUCAUUAUAACAAUAA